rnacentral:rRNA from 1 species
AUUGAACGCUGGCGGCAGGCUUAACACAUGCAAGUCGAGCGGGGUGAAGUGCUUCGGUACUGAUCCUAGCGGCGGACGGGUGAGUAAUGCUUAGGAAUCUGCCAUUUAGUGGGGGACAACAUUCCGAAAGGAAUGCUAAUACCGCAUACGUCCUACGGGAGAAAGCAGGGGAUCUUCGGACCUUGCGCUAAAUGAUGAGCCUAAGUCGGAUUAGCUAGUUGGUGGGGUAAAGGCCUACCAAGGCGACGAUCUGUAGCGGGUCUGAGAGGAUGAUCCGCCACACUGGGACUGAGACACGGCCCAGACUCCUACGGGAGGCAGCAGUGGGGAAUAUUGGACAAUGGGCGGAAGCCUGAUCCAGCCAUGCCGCGUGUGUGAAGAAGGCCUUUUGGUUGUAAAGCACUUUAAGCGAGGAGGAGGCUACCUAGAUUAAUACUCUGGGAUAGUGGACGUUACUCGCAGAAUAAGCACCGGCUAACUCUGUGCCAGCAGCCGCCGUAAGAC